rnacentral:rRNA from 1 species
UACGUAGGUGGCGAGCGUUGUCCGGAAUUACUGGGUGUAAAGGGAGCGUAGGCGGGGGUGCAAGUUGAAUGUAUAAACUAUCGGCUCAACUGAUAGAAGCGUUCAAAACUGCACUUCUUGAGUGAAGUAGAGGCAGGCGGAAUUCCUAGUGUAGCGGUGAAAUGCGUAGAUAUUAGGAGGAACACCAGUGGCGAAGGCGGCCUGCUGGGCUUUAACUGACGCUGAGGCUCGAAAGCGUGGGUAGCAAA